AACGAACGCUGGCGGCAGGCCUCAAACAUGCAAGUCUAGGGGAUGUAGCAAUACAUCACCGGCGGACGGGUGCGUAACGCGUGGGAAUGUACCUAUUGGUUCGGAACAACACAGGGAAACUUGUGCUAAUACCGAAUGUGUCCUUACGGAGAAAGAUUUAUCGCCAAUAGAUCAGCCCGCGUCCGAUUAGCUAGUUGGUGGGGUAAAAGCCUACCAAGGCGACGAUCGGUAGCUGUCUGAGAGGAAGAUCAGCCACACUGGGACUGAGACACGGCCCAGACUCCUACGGGAGGCAGCAGUUGGGAAUCUUGGACAAGUGGGGGAAACCCUGAUCCAGCCAUGCCGCGUGAGUGAUGGAGGCCUUCGGUU
rnacentral:rRNA from 1 species